ACUGCGGCGGGGCGGGCAGGCCCCAGCUGUGCUCCAGCCACGGCAGGCCCCGCUCGGCGGCGACGAUCCGCCCGGCCGUC
rnacentral:tRNA from 1 species